UACGGGGGGGGCAAGCGUUGUUCGGAAUUACUGGGCGUAAAGGGUUUGUAGGUGGCCCGCUAAGUCAGACUUGAAAUCCCUCAGCUUAACUGGGGAACUGCGUCUGAGACUGGCGAGCUUGAGUGCAGGAGAGGAACGCGGAAUUCCAGGUGUAGCGGUGAAAUGCGUAGAUAUCUGGAGGAACACCGGUGGCGAAGGCGGCGUUCUGGACUGUAACUGACACUGAGGAACGAAAGCCAGGGGAGCAAACGGG
rnacentral:rRNA from 1 species